AACGAACGCUGGCGGCGCGCCUAAUACAUUCAAGUCGAGCGAGAAGACGUAGCAAUACGUUUGUAAAGCGGCGAACGGGUGAGGAAUACAUGGGUAACCUACCCUCGAGUGGGGAAUAACUAGCCGAAAGGUUAGCUAAUACCGCGUACGCUCCUUGGACUUCGGUUCAGGGAGGAAAGCGAUACCGUGGGUAUCGCGCUCUUGGAUGGGCUCAUGCCCUAUCAGCUUGUUGGUGAGGUAACGGCUCACCAAGGCUUCGACGGGUAGCUGGUCUGAGAGGACGAUCAGCCACACUGGCACUGCGACACGGGCCAGACUCCUACGGGAGGCAGCAGUAAGGAAUAUUGCGCAAUGGGCGAAAGCCUGACGCAGCGACGCCGCGUGGGGGA
rnacentral:rRNA from 1 species